rnacentral:rRNA from 1 species
ACGUAGGGUGCGAGCGUUAAUCGGAAUUACUGGGCGUAAAGUGUGCGCAGGCGGCUGAGCAAGUCGAGUGUGAAAGCCCCGGGCUUAACUUGGGAAUUGCGCUCGAAACUACUUGGCUGGAGUGUGGCAGAGGAGGGUGGAAUUCCACGUGUAGCGGUGAAAUGCGUAGAUAUCAGGAGGAAUACCGAUGGCGAAGGCAGGUCUCUGGGCUGACACUGACGCUCAUGCACGAAAGCGUGGCGAGCAAACAGGA